rnacentral:rRNA from 1 species
UAGGGAAUCUUCCACAAUGGGCGAAAGCCUGAUGGAGCAACGCCGCGUGUGUGAUGAAGGGUUUCGGCUCGUAAAACACUGUUGUAAGAGAAGAAUGACAUUGAGAGUAACUGUUCAAUGUGUGACGGUAUCUAACCAGAAAGCCACGGCUAACUACGUGCCAG